rnacentral:misc_RNA from 1 species
GAUGAAGAACGUAGCGAAAUGCGAUAAGUAAUGCGAAUUGCAGAAUUUCCGUGAAUCAUCGAAUCUUUGAACGCACAUUGCGCCCAUUAGUAUUCUAGUGGGCAUGCCUGUUCGAGCGUCAUUAAGUCCACUUAAGCCCUGCUUAGUGUUGGGAGACUGCUCCAGCGGUGCUACCCUGUAGCUACCCUGCAGCUCCUCAAAGACAGCGGCGGAGUUGUGGUAUCCUCUGAGCUUAGUAACUUGUUCUAGCUUUCGAGUACACCACUUCCCCUGCCGUAAAACCCUUAAUUUUUAAUGGUUGACCUCGGAUCAGGUAGGAAUACCCGCUGAACUUAAGCAUAUCAAUAAGCGGAGGA